rnacentral:rRNA from 1 species
GAUGAACGCUGGCGGCGUGCCUAAUACAUGCAAGUCGAACGCGCAGCGAGAGGUGCUUGCACCUUUCAAGCGAGUGGCGAACGGGUGAGUAACACGUGGAUAACCUGCCUCAAGGCUGGGGAUAACAUUUGGAAACAGAUGCUAAUACCGAAUAAAACUUAGUAUCGCAUGAUAUCAAGUUAAAAGGCGCUACGGCGUCACCUAGAGAUGGAUCCGCGGUGCAUUAGUUAGUUGGUGGGGUAAAGGCUUACCAAGACAAUGAUGCAUAGCCGAGUUGAGAGACUGAUCGGCCACAUUGGGACUGAGACACGGCCCAAACUCCUACGGGAGGCUGCAGUAGGGAAUCUUCCACAAUGGGCGCAAGCCUGAUGGAGCAACGCCGCGUGUGUGAUGAAGGCUUUCGGGUCGUAAAGCACUGUUGUAUGGGAAGAAAUGCUAAAAUAGGGAAUGAUUUUAGUUUGACGGUACCAUACCAGAAAGGGACGGCUAAAUACGUGCCAGCAGCCGCGGUAAUACGUAUGUCCCGAGCGUUAUCCGGAUUUAUUGGGCGUA